AUGUUCUAUCGACCUUGCUGUCGGAAGAGAGAAAUGGCAGAAUGACAUCCCCCAUUUGGCCCGCUGGAAAUGCCCACCAUCUUUUGGGAAGAUUUACUGGCUGUUUAUAGAAUGCCUGCCUAUAUAAUAUGAAAAAGCUGCUCUCAACUUCUCCCCCAAAACCUUUUAAAAGAAAACAUUUGCCACAUCCAGCCCUUCUAGAGUAAAGAGGUUGCCAACGUAUGAAGUAGAGUUAGAAAAUCACACACCUUGCAAAUUCUCAUUAGUUUAAAAAGAAGUCAUAGAAAAUGUCUUCUGGAGUUGACUUUUUGAAAUGGAGUUAUUAGACCACUUCUGGAAGCAACACGUCCACGUUUGUUCAAUGGGCUAGAGGACAUGGAGCAGAAGACCUGAGAAGGAAAAGAAGUUAGAAGACUACAUGUUGAAAGUUUGCUUUGAGCUUGGUUCUUCUUGAACAUGCAGCUUCAAAUCAAUGUCUGUCUGCUCAUAAGUUCAACCAAACCAGGACUGCCACUGGCUGCUAAAGGGAAGAAAAGGCUCCAUGAAGAAUUCCAGCGUACCUCCUGCCCUGGCAGCCAUUCUGCUGUUUCUAUGGAAACAUUCACCAGAUAGCAGCAUGCUAUACUGUGCAAGUGAAGAAGAAGGCAUCUUCCUUUCAUCACCACAUCUAGAGUGUGACCACUUCACAGAAUGAAAGAAUGUGGUGAACACAGUUCUUUAUUCUGACAGAUAAAUCGUUCAAGAGAAAGAGAAAAGAGCCUUGGGAAAAGGUUGAAUUGGCACAUGGUCUCAGCAUGAAGCCUAGGGGCCAGAUGCCAGUGACAUUUUCUUGGACUUCCCAGCCUUUAGAACCAUGAUCCAAAUAAACUUGUAUUGUUUAUAAA
rnacentral:lncRNA from 1 species